rnacentral:rRNA from 1 species
GGAGGAAAAGAAACUAACCAGGAUUCCCUAGUAACUGCGAGUGAAGCGGGAAGAGCUCAAAUUUGUAAUCUGGCAGUUCUUGAACUGUCCGAGUUGUAAUCUAGAGAAGUGUUACCUGUGCUGGACCAUGUACAAGUCUCCUGGAAUGGAAGCAUCGCAGAGGGUGAGAAUCCCGUCUUUGACAUGGACUGCCUGCACGUUAUGGUGCGCUCUCAAAGAGUCGAGUUGUUUGGGAAUGCAGCUCAAAAUGGGUGGUAAAUGCCAUCUAAAGCUAAAUAUUGGCGAGAGACCGAUAGCGAACAAGUACCGUGAGGGAAAGAUGAAAAGUACUUUGGAAAGAGAGUUAAACAGUACGUGAAAUUGCUGAAAGGGAAACGCUUGAAGUCAGUCGCGUCGGCUAGAAAUCAGCCUUGCUUUUGCUUGGUGUACUUUCUGGUUUGACGGGUCAGCAUCAAUUUCGAUCAUUGGAUAAAGUCAUCGGGAAUGUGGCAUCUUAGGAUGUGUUAUAGCCCAGUGUCGCAUACAGUGGUUGGGAUUGAGGAACUCAGCACGCCGCAAGGCCGGGUUUCGACCACGUUCGUGCUUAGGAUGCUGGCAUA